rnacentral:rRNA from 1 species
UACGUAGGUGGCAAGCGUUGUCCGGAAUUAUUGGGCGUAAAGCGCGCGGUCAGGCGGUCCUUUAAGUCUGAUGUGAAAGCCCACGGCUCAAACCGUGGAGGGUCAUUUGGAAACUGGGGGACUUGAGUGCAGAAGAGGAAAGCGGAAUUCCACGUGGUAGCGGUGGAAAUGCGUAGAGAAUGUGGAGGAACACCAGUGGCGAAGGCGGCUUUCUGGUCUGUAACUGACGCUGAGGCGCGAAAGCGUGGGGAGCAAACAGGA